CAUCAAUCCCUAUACUUAUUAACUCUUUGAUCAAUCGUAAUCUUUCUGUCAUGAUAAUGUCUGAAUGGAUUUAAUUUUCUUAUUUUACAAAAGUUUAAUUAAUCGUUUUAAUUUAAACUAGUCCAACUAUAAUUAUAUUAAAUCAUCAUAGCUAGAUUAAGUUUUAUAGGUACGGACUUUAAAUAAGAGUAUUAUAUCUACGUAGAAUAAAUUUCAUCGGUUUACAAUAAAAUUAUAAGACAGCCAGCAAGGGUUGCCAUACGCAAAAAAGUAAAUUAUACUGCUGAGCAGUAAUAUUUACUGAGAAAAAAUUUCAGUAAAAUGUGUGAGCGAAAUAGUGAACAGAAACCGUUCCGCUGCGACGAUGUUAGGGGGGAAAAGUUCUUUACACAGACCGACGAAGUGGGGGGUGGGAACACGUGGUUCGAUAUAUGUUGCUUCCCAUAUGUUUUGGGGUCGAAAUUUUGGGAGUGUUGCGUGCAAAUGUGUGAGGGGGGCAACCAACUGAUGGUCUACAUGAUGCUCCUACAAUACUGUAUAUGUAAGAUCACACGAGCAGUAUCGCCGAGCCCCAUCUUCUACCCAUACUACUUCUACAUGGUCGUACAAGUUUGUAUGAUUUCUGCCAUAUUCCUAACUAUAUGGUUGCUUUGGGGCCGGUCGGUGAUAAUCCCCUUCUUCAAAGCAUUUUAUUACGCAAUGAUUCAAGAUUAUGAUGAUCUCAUAGUACCAAAGAGGAAAAAAUCGAAACCGAAUAUAUCACGUUUAACUUUUAAAAAGUAUUGUUUUAAAAAAGGGGACAUUUUCGACACGCAAGUGGAUAGAAGCAUGUCGCCCAUAGCUGUCCGUCCUACGACUAUUGUCACCUUCGUAUCUCAACUUUUAAUCAAUGAAUUUAUUUAGAAAUACACGCUAGCAACAA